rnacentral:rRNA from 1 species
GACGAACGCUGGCGGCGUGCCUAACACAUGCAAGUCGAACGGAGAUACGAUUUCGGUUGUAUCUUAGUGGCGAACGGGUGAGUAACGCGUGAACAACCUGACUCUAAGAGGGGGAUAACACUCGGAAACGGGUGCUAAUACCGCAUAAGACCACGACCCGGCAUCGGGAUGAGGUCAAAGGAGCAAUCCGCUGAGAGAGGGGUUCGCGUCCCACUAGAUAGAUGGCGGGGUAACGGCCCACCAUGUCAACGAUGGGUAGCCGAGCUGAGAGGCUGAUCGGCCACACUGGAACUGAGACACGGUCCAGACUCCUACGGGAGGCAGCAGUGGGGAAUAUUGGGCAAUGGGCGCAAGCCUGACCCAGCAACGCCGCGUGAGGGAAGAAGGCUUUCGGGUUGUAAACCUCUGUCCUUGGUGACGAAACAAAUGACGGUAGCCAAGGAGGAAGCCCCGGCUAACUACGUGCCAGCAGCAGCCGCAGUAA